rnacentral:rRNA from 1 species
UGGGGAAUAUUGGACAAUGGGCGCAAGCCUGAUCCAGCCAUGCCGCGUGAGUGAUGAAGGCCCUAGGGUUGUAAAGCUCUUUCACCGGUGAAGAUAAUGACGGUAACCGGAGAAGAAGCCCCGGCUAACUUCGUGCCAGCAGCCGCGGUAAUACGAAGGGGGCUAGCGUUGUUCGGAUUUACUGGGCGUAAAGCGCACGUAGGCGGACUUUUAAGUCAGGGGUGAAAUCCCGGCUCAACCCCGGAACUGCCUUUGAUACUGGAAGUCUUGAGUAUGGUAGAGGUGAGUGGAAUUCCGAGUGUAGAGGUGAAAUUCGUAGAUAUUCGGAGGAACACCAGUGGCGAAGGCGGCUCACUGGACCAUUACUGACGCUGAGGUGCGAAAGCGUGGGGAGCAAACAGG